UUAAAUCCAAGGACUUGUCAUCAGAAGACGAAGAUGCGUUUUCGCUCAAGAGCCGGUCUAUCCGUUCAGCUACCGAAGGUGGAAGUCGAAGUAUAAAUUGCUCUUCCAUGCCUGCAUACCCAACCAAAAAAAAGAAGGAAAAAAUCAGCUAUCGCAAUUAUUCGAAUAGCUUAUAUUUGUGGCUCAUUGUUCUUGAUUUCUACCACAGCAAAGAAAAGGAAAAAAAAAAAAAAACAAGAAGAAUUAGUGUAAAAGAACUGGUAUCUGGAUUCAGGCACCCGUUGGUCAGUUACCUGCAGAGAAGGAUGGAGAAGAAAUUUGGAGGAGAGGUAUGAGAAUUUAGAGGAGCAAGUGAAAUUAGUAGUUCGUAUUUCUAAUUUGGAAUAAUAUCAUAAAUCUCCCCUGAGGUUUACCUUAAUAUCACUUAGCACCUCUAUAUGUUUAAAAGUAUCAUUUACCUUUCUUACUUUUAAAGCUGUAAAUGAGUUGAGUCGAAUUGAAUAUCUUAAGUUUGAGCUUUAUUCGUUAAUCUAAGCGGACAAGGCUCAUAUUCAUUCGAUAGCGUCUGAGCUCUAAAUGUAUAUUCGUAUUCGACUCGUUAAGCAAAAUUCUAACUCAAAUUCGAGUUCGAUCUUAACUCAUUUAUUAUAAACGUGCCAUUCGCGAACAAUUAGGCCCAUGUCCGCGGAUGAUUAAGCCUGGAAUUAGGAAUUAGGAAUACAAUAUGAACCAUAAAUUUUGUGAAAUGACAAUUAGACCCAUACUCGUUAGCGAUCAUUUAAAUUAGCGAAAGAAUUCCUGUUGUUUGAUUACUUAUCGAGCCAAAAUAUUUGUUUGAACUCAACUCAUAUAAAAUUUUCGAAUGAGUCAUUAUCGAACGAACAAGUCUAAACGAAUCAAGAACGAGUCGAGCAUCUUAAGGAAAAAAUCAGCUAUCUCAAUUAUUCGAUUAGCCGUUUUUUUUUUUCUCUUUUUGGCUUAUCGCUCUUGAUUUCUAUCAUAGAAAAAGAAAAAGAAAAAAAGAGCAAGAAGAAUUAGAUGUAAAAGAACUGGUAUCUAAAUUCAGGUACCCGUUGGUCAGUUACCUGCAGAGGAGGACGGAGAAGAAAUAUGGAGGUGGUGAAUCAGAAUUUAGAGGCUGCCAAAUUAGUAGUUUGCCUUUUUAAUUCUUUAAUUACAUGAAAUAACCAAACCAAUACUUGGCUAGGGAGAGGGGCAUUGUGGUCCGUGCACCUGUUCUUGAACGAUGGGUCAUUUUGCAUUGUGAUGUAGCACAUUGUAGGUUAUCUCCUUCAAUACAUUAUAAUUCACAGCAAACAAAAUCUACACUUUUAGAGAUGUUAUAUUCAGGUUUUGUUUUUCAUUUUUUUUAAGCGAGAGGACUUACAACCUGCAUGUGCUGGUACGGCUGUUCAGUGUAGUCUUCUUUUGCCUCUCUCACUUCUUCCCUAUGCAAAUGACCGAGAGGAUAGUUCCUCAAGACUUCUUGAAUUCCUCAAGACUUCUAACUUGCAACAUUUGUCAUCUUACCGUUCAGCAGAAAUGCAGAUAGCCAAAUUGCGGAAUAGAGAUGAUUGAGAGCCAUUGUUUGGAUACACAUUCGAAGCUCAGCAGAUCUUUUAUGGGUACCUUUACUAAUAUUUCCUGCAAAACAUCUUCAUUGUUGGUGAGUUCUUCGACUUGUGAACUGGAAUUAGGCAAUUCAUUAAAACCCUUAUCAGAAUAGCAGUCUUUGAGUUCAGGAACAAAAGCUGGAUGUGCUGGGUAGGAGUUGGAAUCAUCAGUAAAUGUAGAUUUUUCACCAGAAUCUGUUUUUUAAAUCAAUUUACAGAUGCACUAUUUGCAUUUUAUUCCUUUUUUUUUUUUGUUUCUAUUUAAGAAUAGAGAUGGUAAAACACAAGUCGCUCACCGAAAAGGUUAAAUCCAAGGACUUGUCAUCAGAAGACGAAGAUGCGUUUUCGCUCAAGAGCCGGUCUAUCCGUUCAGCUACGAAGGUGGAAGUCGAAGUAUAAAUUGCUCUCCAUGCCUGCAUACCCAACCAAAAAAAAGAAGGAAAAAAUCAGCUAUCGCAAUUAUUCGAAUAGCUUAUAUUUGUGGCUCAUUGUUCUUGAUUUCUACCACAGCAAAGAAAAGGAAAAAAAAAAAAACAAGAAGAAUUAGUGUAAAAGAAC
rnacentral:lncRNA from 1 species